GUCAUCGUUUUAUUCAGUCGAUGAACUUGGCCUGAGAGUCAGCUGUUAGGCAGUUUAAAGAGUUAUCUGCACCGCAGUGAUGAGAAAAAAAGAGUAUCCCCGGACAACAGUCAGUGCAAGGACCUUGCACUUUCCAGGCAGGUGCCUAUGCCACUGAGUUCUUCUUGUGUUAGUGGUAAGUGAAGUCCCCGUGGCAAAGUAGCUUCUUCAGGACUGUGCAGCAACUCCUACGCAGGCUGAGGCCUCCAAGCUGUGCUGCUUCCCUCCCCGUAACCCUCAGCGUCCUUGCCCAGUCAUGCUGGAAGAGUGUCCAACCAGGAAGUACAGAACAACAAUAUAGAUUUUUGAUGUUGUUUAUUUAA